AAAAAAAAAUGAGCGAGGGGACGGAGGUGUCAGGUGUGGCUUCUCACGGCGGGCUUGGAUGCGGCGCCGGUCCCGCCAGCUCCGGGAACCCCAUGGGUACGCCGACGCGUUAGAUCCAGACAGGCCCAAAACGGCGAGGCGUCUCGCUCCUCCCAAUCCACUAGCAACCUCGAUUUGGUUUCCAAUCAAACCAACAAGGCGAGCUCUUCCCAAAACCACAAGGCCCAUUUGCCAAUUUCGUUUCCGUUUUCAAUUAACCCAACAAGGCGAGGGUGCGAGUGGGAGAGAUAGCGUCGGCGCCGCCGGGACUCUGCUACGGGAGGAAAUCGGACCCCCGUAAUGCUUGUGCUUUUUGUUUGACGAGUGCAAUUGGAAGAAGCCUCAGUCUGUGCAACUGGGUUACCCGUCUAGGGCGCCCAAUUCGUCCUAUAUCAAUCAGCCUAUGAGUUGCAGGUCUGUUAAAAUUUGGUAACAUAGACCCAUUGAUUGAUCCCUUGAUGCCUUGUAUUUCAGGUUGGGAAGACGGCUCGAAGGAGAGCAGCGGAUUAUCGCGGCGCCCUGUUUGGGGCUUUGCACAUUGCAGGAAACAGUUUAGUUUGCUGCAGGCAUUCUGCAAAUCCCCCGCAAUCCAAACAAGGCCUUAACAGUACAGCAACAGGCCUUCCGGAGUUUCACAGGCUGUUCCGAACUUGUGAUCCCAUGGCCAUGGGUUAAUUGAAUUAUUGCUUCAGUUCCCCAUGUUUUGUCUGGCAUUGCUUCAAAUGUUCACCUAUAGAGUAUUUUACAGGUUCUGAUCUGAUGGGUCAUAAACACACAAUCUCUACACCACUUUGUGUGCUUGACACAAAAUGAGAGUAAGGCUGCUUUCUUGAGCAGUACUGGAAUGCAAUAAUGCAAUCAGCAGCAGACUAAUACAAGCUCUGCACAUAUAGGUAAUGGACAAGCUAAUAAGGAUGAUGCAUGGUGGCAUUCUUAAUUUUCUGGACACCCCUGUUGCUUUCACCUACUCCAAUGCAAUGUUCCUGCCAAGGGAAUUUAGCUUUUAGCCCACGAACUAAAAUAGUAUACACUGGCAACAUAUGAGCACACAACACGGGGGAUACAGAUGUUUGGGAAGGAUAUAGCAAAAGGAGCUAAAGAUUCUUUCGUAACCCACACCGUCUCUUAUGCUUUUCCCGCCGUUCGGAAUUCCAGGGUGGUCCAAUGACAAUGACCUUUCCUUAGUCCCCAAUUCCAAGGUUGGAAGAGUUGCAGCAUCUGCAGUUCUGCACCAUAAAAGGGUCUAUCUUUUUUCUGUUAUAUAUUCAUCAUCUUCAACUAAGAGGUAUUGAUUAUCUUCUGACGGAGCUUGUGAUGAUAAAUCAUAUGGCAGGGUGCCUGUAGGCUUUCAAUAGUGAAACUGAAUACUGGAGCUGCCGCAAGCAGAUAUGGGGUUUUAUUGUUCUAAAUUUCAGAUUAGCUUCGCCUUGCCGUCAUCUUCAUUGUUUUGUCGCUCAGGGGAUUGCUUAGAUGAACUCCCAUGUGCAAGGUUUCUCCUAAAGGAUCGGACUGGAGGCCAACCGACUGCCGGAAGAACAGCAGCUCUGCAUCACAUUAGAGCACUGGGAGCACACUGUUCUACUGCUGGAAAGCAUACGCAAAGUUAACUAAGAAACAGUAAGCAAAAUACUGAAAGGAGAACUAGUCACAGAAAGUAACUGCUGCACGGUUGAUUAAAAGACAACCUUCUUUUAGCAAAGUAAUGGUUUUUAAUUCAGACACUAAAGGUUACUUCUCCAGCUUGCAGUAUUGGUCUAUUGUACUGUCAUUCAGCUGACUCAAUAGCAAGAUCUAAACUCAGUGCCACUAAAA